UGCUGUCUCUACCUCUCUUCCUCACAGAGUAUAUUAAUACCUCUUAAGGAUCUCUUCAGGAUCGGUGUACCGGGAUGGUUGUUGCUAAUGUGACUACAUGACGUUAACUGCCUGUCGGUCUGUUGUUGAGCGGCUGGUAUCACCCCUCCCCCAUUAUCCCCCAUGUUGUUCCACCUCCUUGUGGGAGGAGCCAGGCGAGGCCACAGAUCAGACUCCUCCAUCUCAUCCCACCAACUCUGUCAGUCCACCAGGCCACUGCAGUAACAGCCAUAUCUUCACAUCACGUAGCUUCAGUACCAUCUCAAUGUGUUGAAGCACCAUCCUGGAUCCUGUGGCAACGUCAAUAUGAAACAGCAUUGACCCGUGAUCACCACCAACCAGGGCUCCACAGCGGUGUCCUUUGAUGCCCAGGAUUUGCUCAAGAUCAACUAAAGGAGAUUUGGAUGGCCCCUUGUCAGUGGCCCUAGGAGUGAAGGGCCCGACAGGCUUACUGCAAAUCAUAAUAACUUCCCACCAUAAACGGACCAGGCAGCGUGGUGAGAAGCAGCAGUGCUUUCUGGAGGAAUGGACAUGGGAGGAGAUAUUGGAAGGUA